UACGUAGGGUGCGAGCGUUAAUCGGAAUUACUGGGCGUAAAGCGUGCGCAGGCGGUUAUAUAAGACAGAUGUGAAAUCCCCGGGCUCAACCUGGGAACGGCGCUUGUGACUGCACGGCUAGAGUACGGCAGAGGGAGGUGGAAUUCCACGUGUAGCAGUGAAAUGCGUAGAUAUGUGGAGGAACACCGAUGGCGAAGGCAGCCCCCUGGGCCAGUACUGACGCUCAUGCACGAAAGCGUGGGGAGCAAACAGGAUUAGAUACCCCAGUAGU
rnacentral:rRNA from 1 species